GAUCCAAAUUCCAAACGUGAUUAAUUCACACAUGGAAACGCUGUUAACAGUGCGAUGUCUAUUUCCAGUCACUUUUUUUUUAUCAAUACUUAAUACCACAGACACUAAAACUACUGUAAAAGCUGUAUUUAUUUUCAUAUCAAACAUUUAUUUUUCAAUAAUCACUGUUGUCAUUACUAUAUUGUUCUUCAAAUUAAUGCAUGGUUUAGUGUUUUCAAUGAUUACAUUGUUUCAGUGUUUUUAUGCUACCGAAGUCGUGUUGAUGUAUUCAUAGUUGUUAAUUUUUUUUACUUGACUUUUUUUUUUUUGUAUAAAAAGAAAAUUUAUAAUGGAAUUUUUCAAAUUUUUCACAGUCACUUGAACCGUUCUACUUGCUUAAUAAUAUUAAAAUUUGGUCAAAAAGUCAUUAAGUUUUACAUGCUUACUGACUGCUUUACUAAUAACAGAAAAAGUGACCAUUAUACAUUAUGUGUGUUUCAAUUCCUUUACUAUUUAAGUACUUGUUAUCAUAAUGAUGAAGAACCUCUCAGUGAACUUUGUAAUUUUGUUAAUAUGUCACAGACUAACAACCAAAUAAAAUUGAAUAUUGUUAAAUAAAAUUUAUCUACUUUGAACAAUAACAAUGAGUAGUGAUUUAAAGAAAUCAAAGUGGAAUUGCGAAUAUUGUACUUAUGAAAAUUGGCCAUCAUCAUUGAAAUGCACUAUGUGUCGCGGUGCAAAGCCGCUUUUUAGUGAAGACAUCUAUAAACUACGUAACUCAAGUCCCCAACGUUCAAGCGUGGCAUCAGGACCCGUGUCUUACAGUCCAUCAGCAGAUUCUCACAAUCUGAUCUCCCAAAAUUCUAAGCAAAUUCUGUCCACGAGUGACAAUUGGUCAUGUGAAGCAUGCACCUACUUAAAUUAUGAAAAUGCGACACUCUGUGGUCAAUGUAUGAGCCAUAAACUACAAAAUCAAUCACAGUUUAACUCUGCAUCGAAUUUGCAUGAACAUCUAGCCCCCCUUAAACUAAUUGACUUGCCAAAAACAAGUCAAAAUUCACAAGUAAUAAAAAGUUUAUGCACUUCAAUACCAACUCAUUUAGAGAAGUGGUCAUGUUCUGUUUGUACUUAUGAGAAUUGGCCAAAAGCAACAAAAUGUAUCAUGUGUAAUCAAAACGAAAAAGACAAACGACGAGAAAAUUCGAUUAUCAGUUCAGAUUUAAUUUUGGCUAGUGCUGAAAGCUUACCAUUAGCAUCACCUCAAUGUUAUAUUCGUGAUGAUAAUUUGGCAAUUGCAAGAAGAAAAAAAACUGACUAUUUUGAUAUUCAAAAUAAAUCUCUACCAGAUGCCCAAUCACUAAAUGAUAAUGAUUAUCAAAGUCAAUUGAAACAGUUAAGACGUCACACAGAUUGGUGUUGGUUAAACGCAUGUAUUGGUAUUGUUGAGGGAGAUAAUGCACCUGUUGAGGUGUACUUAGCAAGUGGGGGAGAUCCUACUCGUCAAUUAACGAAUUCCGAAGUUUUACUACUAAAUAGAACUAGUGCAUUUGAUGUUGGGCAUACACUUGUUCACUUAGCGAUAAGAUUUCAACGUGAAGAUAUUCUAGCUACUCUUUUAUCUCAAAUAGAAGGUUCAGGAUCAGGAAUUAAACGAAUGCCUAGCUAUAUUGCUCCUGAUUUAGCAGCUCAAAUACGGAGACAUGUCACUAACAGUAUUCGCUUACGCAAAGGAUUACUGCCAUGUUAUUUUGUCACUGAUGUGGCAACGUUUGCACUUCCUGCUGAGGUAAAAGAUCUUCCAAGUGUUGUUCAAGAGCAAAUGUUAGAAGAAUUAUUAGAUCGCGAAGCUCAACAACAACUAGAAGGAGGCGAAAGUGAGCCACCAGCUCUCAAUUGGUCCUUGGAAAUAACUGAACGUCUCGGCAGUCGCUUGCAUGCACUUUGGAAUCGGUCUGCUGGUGAUUGUUUAUUAGACUCUGCAAUGCAAGCAACUUGGGGUGUUUUUGAUCGGGAUAAUACUCUUAGACAAGCUCUUGCUGAUUCUCUUCAACAAGCAGGUCAAUUUUUUUAUCCUCGAUGGCGGGAAUAUGAAGCAUCACAAGCUUCGAGAAUGCUACCUUUUACACUUGAAGAAACACAGUGGCAGGGUGAUUGGGAAAACCUUUUGACUACUGCAGCCCAACCUGGUAGUGCUCUAGAACAGUUACAUGUAUUUGCACUUGCUCAUAUUUUGAGAAGGCCCAUUAUUGUUUAUGGAGUAAAAUACGUUAAGAGUUUUCGUGGCGAAGAUAUAGGAUAUGCAAGAUUUGAAGGUGUCUAUUUGCCCUUACUUUGGGAGCCUUCUUUUUGUAUACGUUCGCCAAUUUCACUUGGGUAUACGCGAGGUCAUUUUUCUGCACUUGUGCCGAUUGAACCAUAUAGAUCAUCUCGACUAACUCAUUCGGAUUCAGAGGUUGGUAAUGGGAAGAGUCCAGUGCAACAGCUUCAAACGUUCAUGCCGUUGAUGAAUACAGAACGCAAAUUACUGCCGAUACAUUUCUUAAGUUCCGAAGAAGUAGGAAGAGAGGAUACUAUUUUAAAGCAAUGGCUCGAUGUGUGCACUACAGAAGAAGGAACACUUGUAGCACAACAAAAACUGCAUAAAAAGCCACUUCUAGUGGCGCAAAUGCUAGAAGAAUGGCUCAACUAUUACCGCAGAUUAGCGCAAAUAAACAAUGCUCCCUUCGUUCGACCAGCAGACCUUCCAGAAUAUAGUAGUGACGGUGACACAGAAGAUGAAUAACGUAUCUGAUAAGUACAAUGCGUUAAUUAUAUGACUGUAUUUGGCAAUCUCAUAUUAUACAGAGUAAUUUUUAUAGUUUCAUUAGUCAAUAUUAUCCACUGUCAUUACAAAUAAAAAACAGUAUCUUUGUAACUUUCGCACAUAAAACGUGUUUUUUUUCGUAAUUUUUCACCCUAUUAUAAUUUCUACACUGAGAAAAUUUUUGGAUAAAAAAAAGAAAAUUUAUUCUUGACAGUAAAAAUUAACUUCUUGGCGAAAUACUUUUUGAAAGGAGAAUUAAAUUAUUUAUCAAAGAUGGUGUUUUGUGUCAAACGAUAGAUGGUUUGCGUCAAGAAAAAAACUUCUAAACGUAAACCACGUUACUCCUUCACAUGAACACUAUAUGAUGAUUGUUAUAACAGACAGGCUUCUUUUUUCAAACGGCAGAAGGAUUCUUCUUACAAACAAGUUAUUAUUUAAAGCAAAUCAACUUGAGUUUAAUUCAAAUUAUUAGAAGUUUAAUAAAAUUUUAAAUAAAUUCUAAAAAAAAUUUGUAUAAAAAGUAUUCAUUUUUUAUUUUUUUGCGAUGCGGAUGCCUUGACCGCUGCGCCACGAUCUCGCAUUAGUAGAGAUAAGGUUUGUAUCAUCUACUUGAGAAGCUCGUUAGAUAGAAAUAGUUUUUUUUUUUUUUUCAUACAAUAUUUUUUAUUUAAGGAGGUUAUGUACAAAUUCAUUACGGUUGUUCCGGGGCGCUUCUCACGUCACAGACAAAACGGAGAUCGGGCUACACUGUAAAAAAAUAAUGUGUAAAGCGCCUGCGCUCCGUAUACAAAAUAUGGAACUGCGAGUAUGUAUGUGUGUUUGAUCAUGCCAUACGUUGCCACAUCUAAUUUUUGUAAAGUUUAUAAUUAAUUACUCAUUAAUUGACUGAUCAACAUAUGAAAAUUUUUCGCGCAAUUAAUAAA
rnacentral:misc_RNA from 1 species